AUUGAACGCUGGCGGCAGGCCUAACACAUGCAAGUCGAGCGGAGCGGCGGACGGGUGAGUAAUGCCUAGGAAUCUGCCUGGUAGUGGGGGAUAACGUCCGGAAACGGGCGCUAAUACCGCCUACUAUCAGCUGAGCCUAGGUCGGAUUAGCUAGGUGGUGGGGUAAAGGCCUACAAAGGCGACGAGCCGUAACUGGUCUGAGAGGAUGAUCAGUCACACUGGAAUUGAGACACGGUCCAGACUCCUAAGGGAGGCAGCAGUGGGGAAUAUUGCACAAUGGGCGCAAGCCGGAUGCAGCAAGGCCGCGUGUAUGAAGAAGGCCUUCGGGUUGUAAAGUACUUUCAGCGGGGAGGCGUUACCCGCAGAAGAAGCACCGGCUAACUCCGUGCCAGCCGCCGCGGUAAUUC
rnacentral:rRNA from 1 species